rnacentral:rRNA from 1 species
CAUUACCGAGUGAGGGCCCUCUGGGUCCAACCUCCCACCCGUGUUUAUUUUACCUUGUUGCUUCGGCGGGCCCGCCUUAACUGGCCGCCGGGGGGCUUACGCCCCCGGGCCCGCGCCCGCCGAAGACACCCUCGAACUCUGUCUGAAGAUUGUAGUCUGAGUGAAAAUAUAAAUUAUUUAAAACUUUCAACAACGGAUCUCUUGGUUCCGGCAUCGAUGAAGAACGCAGCGAAAUGCGAUACGUAAUGUGAAUUGCAAAUUCAGUGAAUCAUCGAGUCUUUGAACGCACAUUGCGCCCCCUGGUAUUCCGGGGGGCAUGCCUGUCCGAGCGUCAUUGCUGCCCUCAAGCACGGCUUGUGUGUUGGGCCCCGUCCUCCGAUCCCGGGGGACGGGCCCGAAAGGCAGCGGCGGCACCGCGUCCGGUCCUCGAGCGUAUGGGGCUUUGUCACCCGCUCUGUAGGCCCGGCCGGCGCUUGCCGAUCAACCCAAAUUUUAUCCAGGUGACCUCGAUAGUAGGGAUACCCGCUGAACUUAAGCAUAUCAAUAAGCGGAGGAA